rnacentral:rRNA from 1 species
UGCAGUCGAGCGGUAACAGGGGGAGCUUGCUCCCCGCUGACGAGCGGCGGACGGGUGAGUAAUGCUUAGGAAUCUGCCCAGUAGCGGGGGAUAGCCCGGGGAAACCCGGAUUAAUACCGCAUACGCCCUUCGGGGGAAAGCAGGGGAUCUUCGGACCUUGCGCUAUUGGAUGAGCCUAAGUCGGAUUAGCUAGUUGGUGGGGUAAAGGCCUACCAAGGCGACGAUCCGUAGCUGGUCUGAGAGGAUGAUCAGCCACAUCGGGACUGAGACACGGCCCGAACUCCUACGGGAGGCAGCAGUGGGGAAUAUUGGACAAUGGGGGCAACCCUGAUCCAGCCAUGCCGCGUGUGUGAAGAAGGCUUUCGGGUUGUAAAGCACUUUCAGUGAGGAGGAAGGCCUAAAGGUUAAUACCCUUUAGGAUUGACGUUACUCACAGAAGAAGCACCGGCUAACUCCGUGCCAGCAGCCGCGGUAAUACGGAGGGUGCAAGCGUUAAUCGGAAUUACUGGGCGUAAAGCGCGCGUAGGUGGUUUGAUAAGCGAGAUGUGAAAGCCCCGGGCUUAACCUGGGAACGGCAUUUCGAACUGUCAGGCUAGAGUGUGGUAGAGGGUAGUGGAAUUUCCUGUGUAGCGGUGAAAUGCGUAGAUAUAGGAAGGAACACCAGUGGCGAAGGCGGCUACCUGGACCAACACUGACACUGAGGUGCGAAAGCGUGGGGAGCAAACANGAUUAGAUACCCUGGUAGUCCACGCCGUA